CAGUCGCCAGGUAAUACGAAGGGUGCAAGCGUUACUCGGAAUUACUGGGCGUAAAGCGUGCGUAGGUGGUGGUUUAAGUCCGUUGUGAAAGCCCUGGGCUCAACCUGGGAAUUGCAGUGGAUACUGGGUCACUAGAGUGUGGUAGAGGAUGGUGGAAUUCCCGGUGUAGCGGUGAAAUGCGUAGAGAUCGGGAGGAACAUCAGUGGCGAAGGCGGCCAUCUGGGACAACACUGACGCUGAGGCACGAAAGCGUGGGGAGCAAACAGGAUUAGAUACCCCGGUAGUCCCUGUCUCUUAUACA
rnacentral:rRNA from 1 species